UACGAAGGGAGCUAGCGUUGUUCGGAAUCACUGGGCGUAAAGCGCACGUAGGCGGAUGUGUCAGUCAGGGGGUGAAAAUCCCGGAGCUCAACUUCGGAACUGCCUUUGAUACAGCACGUCUUGAGUCCGAUAGAGGUGGGUGGAAUUCCUAGUGUAGAGGUGAAAUUCGUAGAUAUUAGGAAGAACACCGGUGGCGAAGGCGGCCCACUGGAUCGGUGCUGACGCUGAGGUGCGAAAGCGUGGGGGAGCAAAACAGG
rnacentral:rRNA from 1 species